GACGAACGCUGGCGGCGUGCUUAACACAUGCAAGUCGAACGAUGAAGCUGGAGCUUGCUCCGGUGGAUUAGUGGCGAACGGGUGAGUAACACGUGAGCAAUCUGCCCUUGACUCUGGGAUAACUGCGGGAAACUGUAGCUAAUACCGGAUACGAGACCUGAAGGCAUCUUCGGGUCUGGAAAGAAUUUCGGUCAAGGAUGAGCUCGCGGCCUAUCAGCUUGUUGGUGAGGUAAUGGCUCACCAAGGCGACGACGGGUAGCCGGCCUGGGAGGGUGACCGGCCACACUGGGACUGAGACACGGCCCAGAAUCCUACGGGAGGCAGCAGUGGGGAAUAUUGCACAAUGGGCGAAAGCCUGAUGCAGCAACGCCGUGUGAGGGAUGAAGGCCUUCGGGUUGUAAACCUCUUUUAGCAGGGAAGAAGCGAAAGUGACGGUACCUGCAGAAGAAGCACCGGCUAACUAUGUGCCAGCCGCCGCGGUAA
rnacentral:rRNA from 1 species